UACAGAGGUCUCAAGCGUUGUUCGGAUUCAUUGGGCGUAAAGGGCGCGUAGGCGGCGAGGUAAGUCGGGUGUGAAAUCUCAGAGCUCAACUCUGAAACUGCACUCGAUACUGCUUUGCUAGAGGACUGGAGAGGAGAUUGGAAUUCACGGUGUAGCAGUGAAAUGCGUAGAGAUCGUGAGGAAGACCAGUGGCGAAGGCGGAUCUCUGGACAGUUCCUGACGCUGAGGCGCGAAGGUCAGGGGAGCAAACGGG
rnacentral:rRNA from 1 species